UACAGAGACUUCAAGCGUUAUCCGGAUUUAUUGGGCGUAAAGGGCGCGUAGAAGGUUUGGUGCGUCUUGCGUAAAAUCUUACCGCUUAACGGUAAGCUCGCGCGGGAUACGGCCAAACUAGAGGAUACCAGAGGCAAGCGGAACGCACGGUGUAGGGGUGAAAUCCGUUGAUAUCGUGCGGAACACCAGAGGCGAAGGCGGCUUGCUGGGGUAUUCCUGACUUUGAAGCGCGAAAGCGUGGGGAGCAAAA
rnacentral:rRNA from 1 species